GACGAACGCUGGCGGCGUGCUUAACACAUGCAAGUCGAACGAAGAGCGGUGGAAGUUUCCUUCUAUCCAUUUUCGUCGCGAACGGGUGAGUAACGCGUAAUCAACCUGUCCUUCAGAGGGGUACAACAGUUGGACACGACUUCUAAUACCGCAUACUAUCCAAUCUCAUCAUCGGGUCUGGAUGAAAGGUUUUCCCUUUUUAUAUGCUAUGACUUGAGGAGUGUAUGGUGGCUGAUUAGGUAGUUGGAGGGGUAACGGCCCUACAAGGGGAUGGUCAGUAGCCCGUCUGGAGAGAGGAACGGCCAACACUGGAAUGGGACACCGCUCAGGACCCCAAGGGGAGGCGCAAGUGGGAAACUUCCGGAAUGGACGAAAGGCUGGCGGAGGCACGCCGCGUGGGUGAUGACGGGCUUCGGGUUGUAAAGAUCUGUUAAUCGGGAAGAAUGGUUCUUGUGCGAAAAGUGCGAGGAUUUGACGGUACCGGAAUAGAAAGCCACGGCUAACUACGUG
rnacentral:rRNA from 1 species